rnacentral:rRNA from 1 species
UGACUCGUCACACUAUCAUUAACUGAAUCCAUAGGUUAAUGAGGCGAACCGGGGGAACUGAAACAUCUAAGUACCCCGAGGAAAAGAAAUCAACCGAGAUUCCCCCAGUAGCGGCGAGCGAACGGGGAGGAGCCCAGAGCCUGAAUCAGCAUGUGUGUUAGUGGAAGCGUCUGGAAAGGCGCGCGAUACAGGGUGACAGCCCCGUACACAAAAGCGCAUGUGCUGUGAGCUCGAUGAGUAGGGCGGGACACGUGGUAUCCUGUCUGAAUAUGGGGGGACCAUCCUCCAAGGCUAAAUACUCCUGACUGACCGAUAGUGAACCAGUACCGUGAGGGAAAGGCGAAAAGAACCCCGGCGAGGGGAGUGAAAAAGAACCUGAAACCGUGUACGUACAAGCAGUGGGAGCACCCUUUGGGUGUGACUGCGUACCUUUUGUAUAAUGGGUCAGCGACUUAUAUUCUGUAGCAAGGUUAACCGAAUAGGGGAGCCGGAGGGAAACCGAGUCUUAAUUGGGCGUUAAGUUGCAGGGUAUAGACCCGAAACCCGGUGAUCUAGCCAUGGGCAGGUUGAAGGGUGGGUAACACUAACUGGAGGACCGAACCGACUAAUGUUGAAAAAUUAGCGGAUGACCUGUGGCUGGGGGUGAAAGGCCAAUCAAACCGGGAGAUAGCUGGUUCUCCCCGAAAGCUAUUUAGGUAGCGCCUCGUGAAUUCAUCUCCGGGGGUAGAGCACUGUUUCGGCUAGGGGGCCAUCCCGGCUUACCAACCCGAUGCAAACUGCGAAUACCGGAGAAUGUUAUCACGGGAGACACACGGCGGGUGCUAACGUCCGUCGUGAAGAGGGAAACAACCCAGACCGCCAGCUAAGGUCCCAAAGUCAUGGUUAAGUGGGAAACGAUGUGGGAAGGCCCAGACAGCCAGGAUGUUGGCUUAGAAGCAGCCAUCAUUUAAAGAAAGCGUAAUAGCUCACUGGUCGAGUCGGCCUGCGCGGAAGAUGUAACGGGGCUAAACCAUGCACCGAAGCUGCGGCAGCGACACUGUGUGUUGUUGGGUAGGGGAGCGUUCUGUAAGCCUGCGAAGGUGG